AACGCGAAGAACCUUACCAAAUCUUGACAUCCUCUGACCUCUCUAGAGAUAGAGUUUUCCCCUUCGGGGGACAGAGUGACAGGUGGUGCAUGGUUGUCGUCAGCUCGUGUCGUGAGAUGUUGGGUUAAGUCCCGCAACGAGCGCAACCCUUAAGCUUAGUUGCCAUCAUUAAGUUGGGCACUCUAAGUUGACUGCCGGUGACAAACCGGAGGAAGGUGGGGAUGACGUCAAAUCAUCAUGCCCCUUAUGAUUUGGCUACACACGUGCUACAAUGGACAAUACAAAGGGUAGCGAAACCGCGAGGUCAAGCAAAUCCCAUAAAGUUGUUCUCAGUUCGGAUUGUAGUCUGCAACUCGACUAUAUGAAGCUGGAAUCGCUAGUAAUCGUAGAUCAGCAUGCUACGGUGAAUACGUUCCCGGGUCUUGUACACACCG
rnacentral:rRNA from 1 species